GGAUAGCUUGAGUUAGGGCAUACUACAACAACAACUACGACAUAUCCAGUGUGAUCUCACAAGUUGCGUUAGAGCAUACUAGUGAAAACAAAUCCGAAACAACAUUGCAGUAAUGAGUUAAGAGGCGAAGCUCAGAAGAAGAAAAACGUAGUAGCAACAGUUGUCGGUGUUUGGGCCAGCUUGUGUGCGCCUUUAACUAAUUCCACACGGUACCUACUACCUCCUACGAGCAUAGGUACCAGAUAACUCUGUCCGCCAAGGCUUAGCAGCGGUAGCAUUAUUAUAGUAGGAAGAAGAGUAGACUAGCAUUAUUACAGUUGUCGGUGUUUGGGGCAGCUCUUGUGCGCCUUUAACUAAUUCCACACGGUACCUACUACCUCCUACAAGCACAGGUACCAGAUAACUCUGUCCGCCAAGGCUUAGCAGCGGUAGCAUUAUUAUAGUAGGAAGAAGAGUAGACUAGCUCGUUGAGUUUAGAAAAUUACCACGUGC
rnacentral:lncRNA from 1 species